CGCUGGCGGCAUGCCUAACACAUGCAAGUCGAACGAGACCUUCGGGUCUAGUGGCGCACGGGUGCGUAACGCGUGGGAACCUGCCUUUAGGUUCGGAAUAACUCAGAGAAAUUUGAGCUAAUACCGGAUAAUGUCUUCGGACCAAAGAUUUAUCGCCUUUAGAUGGGCCCGCGUUGGAUUAGCUAGUUGGUGGGGUAAAGGCCUACCAAGGCGACGAUCCAUAGCUGGUCUGAGAGGAUGAUCAGCCACACUGGGACUGAGACACGGCCCAAACUCCUACGGGAGGCAGCAGUGGGGAAUAUUGGACAAUGGGCGAAAGCCUGAUCCAGCAAUGCCGCGUGAGUGAUGAAGGCCUUAGGGUUGUAAAGCUCUUUUACCCGAGAUGAUAAUGACAGUAUCGGGAGAAUAAGCUCCGGCUAACUCCGUG
rnacentral:rRNA from 1 species